AUUGAACGCUAGCGGCAGGCCUAACACAUGCAAGUCGAACGGUAACAGGAAGAAGCUUGCUUCUUUGCUGACGAGUGGCGGACGGGUGAGUAAUGUCUGGGAAACUGCCUGAUGGAGGGGGAUAACUACUGGAAACGGUAGCUAAUACCGCAUAACGUCGCAAGACCAAAAAGGGGGACCUUCGGGCCUCUUGCCAUCGGAUGUGCCCAGAUGGGAUUAGCUAGUAGGUGGGGUAACGGCUCACCUAGGCGACGAUCCCUAGCUGGUCUGAGAGGAUGACCAGCCACACUGGAACUGAGACACGGUCCAGACUCCUACGGGAGGCAGCAGUGGGGAAUAUUGCACAAUGGGCGCAAGCCUGAUGCAGCCAUGCCGCGUGUAUGAAGAAGGCCUUCGGGUUGUAAAGUACUUUCAGCGGGGAGGAAGGGAGUAAAGUUAAUACCUUGGCUCAUUGACGUUACCCGCAGAAGAAGCACCGGCUAACUCCGUG
rnacentral:rRNA from 1 species